CUUUAAGUCAAGGGAGCAUAUCCUGUUGCAAGAUGUCCUGGAAUCGAGCAGUCAACAUUAAGCUGAUUUGACUUUUUUUUUUUUUUUUUUCCUGAUGGAGUUUUGCUUUUGUUGCUCAGGCUGGAGCGCAAUGGCACGAUCUCGGCUCACGGCAACCUCCGCCUCUCGGGUUCAAGCAAUUCACCUGCCUCAGCCUCCCGAGUAGCUGGGAUUAAAGGCAGGUGCCACCACGCCCGGCUAAUUUUGUAUUAACAGGGUUUCUCCAUGUUGGUCAGACUGGUCUUGUACUCACAACCUCAGGUGAUCCACCUGCCUGAGCCUCCCAAAGAGCUGGGAUUACAGGCAUGAGCCACCGCACCCGGCCCAACCUGAUUUGACAUUUUACCUUCUUUGGGUUAUGUCCUCCUUCCUGGGUAGGAACUUGGACCUGCAGCCUCCCUCCUGCUAAAUGGACUGAUCCUCGCCCUCACCUGACUGUUCCACCCCCACACCUGUUGCCCCUCCUGGAAGCAGAAAUGGCUUUGAUGGAAGGUGAUUGGGCCGCUGUGAGAGGACUCCACAAGGCCUUCCUGAGAUGUUCUCUGGGGUCACCUGAUUGUGGAAAAAUUGAGUUUGAGCAAAACUGGCAUGGCCGUACUGGAUGGACCUCAGCAUGACCAGGGCAUAUUUGAGCUCAAAUCCACUGUGCCAAGGACACAUUCUGCCAAGGACCACCACCUCUUCCCACAACUGUGAGUGGGUUUAUGUCAUCACAGGAGGUGCAAAAACGUGUGGCGAGCUAUUUCCAAGACCACAACCUAGAAAUUGUGAGAAGCCUACCCAGGACCACACUGACAACACAGUCUUCCAUGGUUCAACCUCCCGCCCCUUCCCGGUGCCAGUGUUCCCAAAUGCAGGGGGAUUUCAGACCUUCAGCUUUUCAUUUAUCUCCGAGGCACAGAUGCUGAGGUAUCCCCAUGUCUGUCUUCAGAGUCUCAUUUGCAAAUUGGCAGCUUCAUACCACUCUCGCUAUCUGCAUUGCUCUAUUUACACCUGA
rnacentral:lncRNA from 1 species